rnacentral:lncRNA from 1 species
AAGUGUGAAAUAAACCACUUGUACAGAAGAGGAACACAACACACAAUAGUCCCACCACCUUUAGAAUUCCUCAUAUGCGAAGAGAAAUACAUGUCACCCAACAGAGUCGAAACAUGAUUCCCAAUCAAGAAGAUUCUAAUAGCGUUAACAUCAAUAAAAUCGUCAAUGUUAGGGAACAAGGCUAAGCCAUAGAUGAGCAACACAAAUGUAGGUUCAAAAACGUCCAUACUACCAGCUUGAGCAAAGACAUUAGCUUUUCCAAUGAGGAACUCAGAAG